rnacentral:rRNA from 1 species
CCUACGGGAGGCAGCAGUGAGGAAUAUUGGUCAAUGGCCGGAAGGCUGAACCAGCCAUGCCGCGUGAAGGUCAGUGCCCUAUGGGCGUUAAACUUCUUUUGUGCGGGAGCAAUAAUGGUCACGUGUGGCCAGACGAGAGUACCGUACGAAUAAGCAUCGGCUAAAUCCGUGCCAGCAGCCGCGGUAAUACGGGGGAUGCAAGCGUUAUCCGGAUUUAUUGGGGUUAAAGGGUGCGUAGGCUGGGAGGUAAGUCAGCGGUGAAAUGCCCCCGCUCAACGGGGUGAAGUGCCAUUGAUACUGCCUUGCUGGAAUGCGGAUGCCGUGGGAGGAAUGUGUGGUGUAGCGGUGAAAUGCAUAGAUAUCACACAGAACACCAAUUGCGAAGGCAUCUCACGAAUCCGCGAUUGACGCUGAUGCACGAAAGCGUGGGUAUCAAACAGGAUUAGAUACCCCAGUAGUC